rnacentral:rRNA from 1 species
UACGGAGAGUGCAAACGUUGUUCGGAUUCACUGGGCGUAAAGGGCACGUAGGCGGCCAGGCAAAUCGAUCGUGAAAUACCGACGCUCACCGUCGGUGCGGCGGUCGAAAAUACCUGGCUUGAGGAUGUGAGAGGUCGCUGGAACUUCUGGUGGAGCGGUGAAAUGCGUAGAUAUCAGAAGGAACGCCGGCGGCGAAAGCGGGCGACUGGCGCAUUCCUGACGCUGAGGUGCGAAAGCUGGGGGAGCAAACAGG